rnacentral:sRNA from 1 species
UACUAAUCCCGGUGACGAAUUUUUGUGC